CCGUUAGUAUAGUUUAACAAAAACAUUAGGCCGUGG
rnacentral:tRNA from 1 species